rnacentral:tRNA from 1 species
GCUGGGAAUAUUGCUCAGUUGGUAGAGUGCUUGUCUUGCAUACACAAGGCCCUGGGUUCAAUCCCGAGCACAACA